GAGUUUGAUCAUGGCUCAGGAUGAACGCUGGCGGCGUGCUUAACACAUGCAAGUCGAACGAAGCGCCUUAUUUGAUUUUCUUCGGAACUGAAGAUUUGGUGACUGAGUGGCGGACGGGUGAGUAACGCGUGGGUAACCUGCCCCUGUACAGGGGGAUAACAAUCAGAAAUGACUGCUAAUACCGCAUAAGACCACAGCACCGCAUGGUGCAGGGGUAAAAACUCCGGUGGUACAGGAUGGACCCGCGUCUGAUUAGCUGGUUGGUUGAGGUAACGGCUCACCAAGGCGACGAUCAGUAGCCGGCUUGAGAGAGUGAACGGCCACAUUGGGACUGAGACACGGCCCAAACUCCUACGGGAGGCAGCAGUGGGGAAUAUUGCACAAUGGGGGAAACCCGUGAUGCAGCGAACGCCGCGUGAGUGAAGAAGUAUUUCGGUAUGUAAAGCUCUAUCAGCA
rnacentral:rRNA from 1 species